GUGGAACUCUUCAUAAACAUUCAACUCUAGUGGUCAUAAGAUGUCUGGCCAUUUCCUCCUGAGCUUCUGUGUUCUAGGAUACCUUUUCAGCAAUGUCAGGGCUUGGGUUGUAAAGAUGCCAAGCCAUAUCAAAGGGAUGAAGGGUUCCUGCCUUGUCAUCCCUUGCACAUUUGACUACUAUCAAUACCCACCCAUGAGACCAGACCGUGUGGUUUGGUACCAGUAUGUGAACCGCGGAUAUCCUUUGGUUUAUGACAAUUGGUAUCCAAAUGCUGUCAUUUGGAUAUUUAACGGCAAAACAAGUAAAUAUCCCUCUACAUAUGGCAAAGACUGCAGUCUUCAAAUCAACCCAGUGGAUUGGCAUCACCACAGACAGAAGAUCUACCCCUGGGUAGAUCCAGAGAAUGUUGGGAAGAGUACCUACCGAUUCUAUGAUACAACUGUAACAAUUGAAGUAGUGGACAGGGCAGAGGAACCAGAAAUUAUGAUCUCUGGAGACAUGAAGGUGGGACAGUCUGUGACAGUGCAAUGCAGUGUUUAUCACACCUGUCCCACAUAUCCACCAAAGCUGAGUCUCAACAUCCCAGGACGCACCCGUCUCACUCAUAGUUCCCUGUCUGAUGGCACAUCCAAAACCACCUUGACAAUCAAGCUGAACAUAGUGAGAGACCAGCAAACUGUGGAGUGUGACGUUCGACACACUGGUGGUCGCACUGCAAAAGCGUCUCGAACCUUUUAUGCUCAGUGCUCCAUUUUACCACUGACUAUCAGCGAUACAUCAGAAGAAUUUCUUGAGGGAUAUCCCAAAAAAAUAACCUGCACUUCCUCAUACACAUGCUCUCAACAUAAACCAACUCUCACAUGGAACGAUGGUAGCAUGCCAGCCUCCACUACUGACAUCAAGAGUGGAAAUGCUCAGUGGCAAACUGUCUCCACGCUGACAUUCACAGCAUCAACUAAUGACCAUGGAAGAUCUCUGACAUGCUAUGCACGCUUCAAUGGAGGAGAGACGCAGCAAACAAGCAUUACCCUACGAGUUAAGAGAAAUAUGCUGUCCCGGGGUUGGUCCUUCACCACCCCUGGCAGCAUCACAGGUAUGAGAGGUUCCUGUGUCAUCAUUCCUUGCAGAUUCACUUACAGUACCUCUCAACCUGCUGACCUCCAAGUUAUAUGGUUCUUGUACCAGAGCAAUGGAUACCCACCUGUAUUUAGCCAAAGACAGGAUGUUAUUAGUAAGUUUCGUGGGAUAACCAGCUUGACUGGAUCUGUGAGCGAGGGGAAUUGUAGUCUUAAGAUUGAGAGCCUAGAGAUGUCACACAACCAGGAGAGACUUUAUCCAUGGGUGGAUAAGAACCCAAUUACCUCCUACCACACCCAAGGUUUCACAUUUUAUGAUAAAACGACUCAACUUAUUGUUUCAGACCAUGCCCAGGACCCACAGCUGAGUCUCAAUGGUAUCCCCAGGGUGGGAGAGCAGAGCACAGUGUCCUGCAGUGUGCAGCAUACAUGUCUCUCUCUUCCACCCAUCCUGAGUCUAUCUGGCAUACCUGGAACCGACCAUGUUAUGGACACUCUGGUAUCUGAUGAGAUUUGGGAGAGGAAAGUGGAGCGAACAUGGAGUGUAACAGAGGAAAACCAGGGUGUGAAGUGUACUGUUAGUUACCAUGGUGGUCAGAAAGCCACAAGUGAGCUCAAGCUCAAUGUCCAAUGUCCGUAUGACGACAUCAGGAUGGAUGAGUGGCAAGGCGAGGCGACAGAGGGUGUGGCAAAGAGUGUGAUUUGCUCUGUUUCCUACAAGUGCGAGAAAAAUACACCAAACAUUGUGUGGAAUUACAAAGACAUGCAGUAUUCAUUACACACUGAAGAAAUCUCUAGCAACACCUACAAAACAGUGUCAAAUCUAACCUUCAUUGGCUCUCUAGAGGAUGAUGGUAAAUCUUUGACCUGCACUGCUCGGUUUAUCACUGGGGAGACUUCAGACUCUGUAACACUUCAUAUAAAAAAAUAUGAAAAACCAAUUGAAGAAACAGAUCCACAUGAAAGAGACAUGUUGAGCAAUCUGGCUGCUGACGUUCCUUUCAGAUUCACCGCCCUAACCCGCUCCUGUGUGGUGAUUCCCUGCAGCUUCGAGCACCACGAGGUUCUGCCUAUGACACGUGGGAUCUGGUCCAAAAAAGCCGGGGGUGUUGUCUAUCAUAAUGGCAAGAGCAAUGUGCUUGACCAUUUCAAGGAUCGCACCAAACUAUUAGGACAUCUGCAGGAGGGAAACUGCUCACUAGAGAUUGAUGACAUCAAGCCCUUUGACAAUGGGCCCUUCUGUUUCCAUGCAGAGAGAGGAAACGAUGGAUACAAAUUCAACAACAGCUGUGUUUUUAUUGUUAUGAAAGCUUCCCCAGAAAAACCAGUGAUGACCCCAGUCCCAGCAGAAGUCGAUGCUGGCUCUACAAUCACUGUCUCGUGUUCUGUAACGCACACAUGUUCCUCACAUCCUCCAGUGUUCUCAUGGAGUGUCCAUGAACUCACCACUGAGGUCACACACACCUGGACGCCGCAAGGCAUCUGGGAGACAACUUCCACAAUCACUUUCACAGCUGCUGGAGGAGACGGACCCCAAGACCUAACUUGCACUGCCAUGUUCUGGCGUGGAAAGCAACAAGCCAGCACAGUUAAACUGAAUGUGAAGGGAUCCCUGAUGUACCAGUUGAGAAGAAGUCUCCCAGUAGCUACUCCAGUCUCAAUUCUAGUUCUGAUUAUUAUCACCUUAGCUGCAGUGUUUGGAGUGGUCAUCUAUAGGAGAAGGAGGCAUACUGAUGAUUCUAUGAGACCACCUCCUCGACCAGAGAAAAGAUUUGACAGAAAAGGCUUUGCUGUUUGAGAGAGGUCUCAAAGAAUUGGAGAAGCAUCAAGGAUUCUGCUGGGAGAAUUAAUCCCCCUUAAAACACACUCAUUAAAUCAACAAUACUAAAAAUACAGCACAUGAGAAGGAGGUUCGGGUGGUGGAGGGAAUUGCGACAGAAAACAGCAACAGAGUAAAGGUACGGUUUCAUUACAUCUGUUCAACAAAAUUUGCUGGCAGUCGGCUCUGACAAAGGACAUUAUGUAAUGUUUCUGAUACUUGCAAUAAACAAAUAUUGAUCUGAGCGAUCACAAACUGUGAACAGUGUAUGAGAGCAUCUUCAGCAGAAGCAAAUCGGAAAUGGAGAGAGUAUUCAUCGGAUGAAGGUGUAAUGCGACUAUACCUUAAUAGUGAGAGGGUUCAGGGCCUAAUGGUGGUGCAUGAGUAGGCCUAUGAUUGGACACAACUAGUCAGCUUUACUUGAAGAGUUUACCAACUUUUAUGUAAACAGUGUCACGGCUCUUGUCAAUCAGAUGUAAUUGUCUUUUUAAUAGUCAGCUGAUAGCCAAACUGUUUGUGAAUGAGCCAGAGAUUGUGAAAAAUGUAAAUCAGCUAAUGCUAACUGUAUGCUCCACAUACUGAAAACUUGAUCUUAAUUGUGACUGAACCCACAUGUCCUGUAUUUCCACCAAAAAGCAUUUUAAAUAUCUGUUUCUGCCAUUCAAACAUUCACAGGAGAUCGCUAUGGGGUAGAUUAUCCAGGCACUCCAUUUGGAGCAGAUUUUCCCGGUAAGAACACUUUUAAUCCACUUUAAUUCACUUUUAAUCCACAAUUGCCUCAUGUUUACAUUUCUACCCUCUUCAGUAGAGCAGAUGAUGGUCGCAUUGGUUGGCAAGCUGAGAGAAAACCCAAGUAGGUGCUCUCAAAUGUUGGUUUUAGUUUCCGCUCUCACUGUUAAAGUGGCUGUCUGUUUUAAAUUGAAUUGACACUGUUCUCAUAGGAAUUCUUCAACCUUCUGUUUAAUGCAGUUACAGUAAGAAAUCUUAAACAUAAAUUUAAAGUAUCAAUUACAUAAUUAACAUUAAUUACCCUUGCAGACACCAAGGCAACAGUGUGAACCUUGGUGUUGGCUAUUCAUACAUGUUAAACUAUGCUACACUGUUACAUCAAACAGUCUGAAAAGCAAAGACCAAAACUAAUAUUGUUCAUGUGGAUUCCCUCCUCCUAGAAACAACACCACCACUAUAAAUUACGAUCCUCCAAUCUCCAAACGUUUUCCUUCCCCAAAGGAUAAUCGGAGACCUCCUCGCCCUGCCAAGCCUGAGGU